GACUUCAUCGACGAAAUUGAUGUAAAGCUAUAAACAGUACUCCAACAUCUUCUAUUCUUUGACUUGGCAAUUUCCACCUUCAAAAGGCGGGCGGCCAAAUAAUCCCACGCUACUCACGGACAGCUUGAGUCGCCCCAUCUUCUGGCUGAGCGUCACCGGAACUACGAGACCUUAUGCAAGGCGGAAAAUUCACAAAAGAAACCGAUGAAACGAACAAAGUAUUCAUUGUGACGGGGUCGAACAACGGAAUUGGAAAAGAAACGGUCAGGGAACUGGCGAAACGGGGAGCAACCGUUUACAUGGCAUGUCGAGUCAUGAAAAAAUGUGAGGAGGCCCGAGAGGAGAUUGUGCUGGAGACCAAAAACAAAUACGUGUACUGCCGUGAAUGCGACUUAGACUCAAUACGGAAUUUCGUUGCCGCCUUCAAGCGGGAACAGAAAACGCUGAAUAUACUUAUCAACAAUGCUGGUGUCAUGCGCUGUCCCCGGUCACUUACAAAGGAUGGCUUCGAGAUGUAGUUGGGCGUGAAUCAUAUGGGCCACUAUUUACUUACCACACUGCUAUUGGAUAAAUACAUAUAUUUUAUUUUGUUGACACUCGAAGCAACAGUCGUGUUGGCGCUGACUCUUACACAUUGCGUCUCAUAGCUGCCUUAGUUCUCGCGGAGGGUUUGUUUCCUUCUUAGGGAACGUCUCGGAUGGUGAUGCAGUGACUCUUCCUUGCUACGCUUGCAAUGCGCCCAAGAAACCAAUUAAUUAGCUUAUAUUAUAAGUGUAAUAGGCUAUUCACACUGACGACCAUCCACCAUCCACCAUCCAUUUCGGGGAUGGUCCGUAAGGUUUUGCCGUUCCGAAAAUUUCCCAGUUAGUCCACCAUCCAUUUUGGAUGUUCCUAAACCGCACGUUUCUAUGCGAUAGUUAGCCGAUGGUUUUCAAAUGCAACUCUGAAUAAUUGUCAUUCACAAUGGAAAAAUGGUAUUCACUGCGAAAACGUAAACAAUGAUUGUGACAAAAUUAACAAAAAACAAAAACAACAACAGAACAGCUCGGAAGGACAGCAGACCAAAUUUUCGAAUAACUUAUUAAUAAAAUGGAUUUAGUGCCAGAAAACUCCUCCAGUGCAAACAAGAGAACAACAGCAGGCGGCAGGGUGACAUGGAGUGCCGCGCUUGAGAGCCUGCUGAUUGACAUAUGGAAGGAGAAAAUUGAAGAUUUCCGCGGACCACGCAAAAAUUCACAUGUGUAAAUUAAGUUGUCCGUAUGUCCAAGUAGCCUUAGCUGCUUGAUGCGGUGGUCCUCGUGCGGGUUCCGUGGUAUAGAAUCCUUUAUGAAGAUUAUGUUGGAGAGAUAACUGUCUCUCUUAUCACUGGCCUUGUGGUACAGUGGUAUAGAAUUAAUAAUUCAAAGUGUUUACGGCUGGUUGCCGGAGCAAGGUUUAUUAACAAGCGUUAGCUUUCGUAAUAAGAACAGAACUAAAACUAGGAGCCACCAGCAAGCUGGGGCAUAAGCUGAAUCAAAAGUAUUUAAUUGCCAAAGAAUGCAAAGCUACAAAAUAUAUGUACUUAGAGCUACAAAGCUACAGUCGGUAAGCCGACUUGGCAUAAGCGAUAAUGCUGAUCUUGCGGCAUGUGCAAGAUAUCAGAUUACCGCCGGUUGACCGUCACAUUCAGGGCGCUGAACUGAAGUUCGCUGAUUUGGCAUCUUGAGUGCAAACAACAUGGAGCAGAGCACAUUGGACAACGACAAUCCUGAUGAGUACUUUUCGGAUAUUAUUGAGAUGGACCUGGACGGAUCUUGUAGCUCCAGCACCUUGUCUGGGCGUCCGCCAAAGAAAAAGAAAAAGACCGACAUUUCGUGGCUGGCAGAGAUCGCCCAGGAGCGUCUCGAACAACAAAAGGACCACCACAGAAAGAAGGAGGAGCACGACGUUAGGCAGGGGAAGAUGGUGCAGGACUUGAUCAGCACCCAAACAAAAUUCCAGAACGACUUAUUAGAAGUUUUAAAAAAUAAAAAUAAAUAAGUUUUUAAUUUUCAUUACGGUCUACACAAUAUUUUGCGAUUGCAGAUCGUAUCUGUUCUGCUGACUGAUUAAAGUCAGCAGAACUGUUGCUGGUAUCGGGCUGUUCGCGCUGCUCAUUUGUUGCAAGAUCCCAAUUUUCAUUAAUCGCGCUGUUGUGCAUAUUUAAUAUAUUGUGUAAAAUACAACAGCUCAUUAUUA